AGAAUGCCUCUCACCCAGGACACUAUUCGAAGAAUAAUCUGCGGCUGCUGAAAGAACGUAAUUGGAUCGAAGGUGCCGCCAGCCUUGCCAGCCCCGUAUGCCUGCUCCAUCCUUAGAGGUUCACAAAUGAUGACAGAAUGGAUGACCUGUCCUAAAAACAGAAAAUAACUCACCUGGAGAACCCAACAGUAACUGCACCACAUCGUCAUACAGCAGGAGAGUGGCUGGUCUCUGGGGAAGAAUCUUUGACCCUGGAGAAUACAAGGCUUUUAUUUUUCCUGUGGGAAUAUACCGUAGUUUACCAGAUGUAGCUGCUAACUCACAGGUGUGAGACAUGUCUCAGCACGGUCGAAUCCUCAGAGUUCGCGUGACUCACUCAGAUUAUCAAAGUGCUGUGGGGACAGUUAAAACUCCAGGACACCAUCAGGUUUUUUUUAGAAACCCUUUUUCAGCAUGGCUGAGAGACUAAAGGCAGGAGGAAUGGGGGGCAGAUGGCUUUGGUACCAAAUAGAUGAGACUUGAAAAUGCUAACCUUCAGAAAGCUGAGUCACAUGUACAAAAAAUGGUGACAUUACUAUAGAGAUGUUCAGUGUGCAAUCUGGGGUUGGAGUACAGUCCAAUGAACAGUCAUCAGUCAAAUGACUGGCAUGCCAUCACUUUCGCACAGCUGUCAAACCCCUGCUUGUCAUGUAAUCUCUCUGCCCUGUAUUAAAACAACCAUCCAGAUGAAAACAUGAGUCUGCCAAUUAAAAGGAUUUUGUCAACUAGUAGUACUAUUACAGCCAUUACUGGUAUCACAGGAAUGUGCUGUUAGCAAACCACAUACUGAUGUAAAUGCA